AAGAACGCUGGCGGCAGGCCUAAGACAUGCAAGUCGUACGCGAACGACCUUUCGGGGUUAAGUAGAGUGGCGAACGGGUUAGUAACGCGUGGGAACAUACACAGCACAGGGGGAUAACCAUUGGAAACGAUGGCUAAUACCGCAUACGCCCUAUUGGGGAAAGAUUUAUCGGUGUUGGAUUGGCCCGCGUUAGAUUAGCUAGUUGGUGGGGUAAUGGCUCACCAAGGCGACGAUUUAUAGCUGAUUUGAGAGGAUGAUCAGCAACACUGGAACUGAGACACGGUCCAGACUCCUACGGGAGGCAGCAGUCGGGAAUAUCGUGCAAUGGGGGCAACCCUGACACAGCCAUGCCGCGUGAGUGAAGAAGGCCUUAGGGUUGUAAAGCUCUUUCAGAUGUGAGGAUGAUGACGAUAGCAUCAGAAGAAGCUCCGGCUAACUUCGUGCCAGCAGCCGCGGUAAUACGAAGGGAGCUAGCGUNGUUCGGAAUUACUGGGCGUAAAGGGCGUG
rnacentral:rRNA from 1 species